GAGGGUAUAACUUAGUGGUAGAGUACCUGCUUAGCAUGCAUGUGAUCCUGCAUUCAAUCCCCAGUACCUCUG
rnacentral:tRNA from 1 species